GCCAACGUAGCUCAGCUGGUAGAGCAGCUCACUCGUAAUGAGCAGGUCACCGGUUCAAAUCCGGUCGUUGGCU
rnacentral:tRNA from 5 species